rnacentral:rRNA from 1 species
CCUACGGGUGGCAGCAGUGAGGAAUAUUGGUCAAUGGGCGCGAGCCUGAACCAGCCAAGUCGCGUGAAGGAUGACUGCCCUACGGUUUGUAAACUUCUUUUAUAGAGGAAUAAAGGUAUGCCCGUGUGCCUUUUUGUAUGUACUUUAUGAAUAAGGAUCGGCUAACUCCGUGCCAGCAGCCGCGGUAAUACGGAGGAUCCGAGCGUUAUCCGGAUUUAUUGGGUUUAAAGGGGGCGUAGGUGGGUUUUUAAGUCAGCUGUGAAAGUUUGCGGCUCAACCGUAAAAUUGCAAUUGAUACUGGAAGUCUUGAGUAUAGUUGAGGUAGGCGGAAUGCGUGGUGUAGCGGUGAAAUGCAUAGAUAUCACGAAGAACUCCGAUUGCGAAGGCAGCUUACUAAGCUGCAACUGACAUUGAUGCUCGAAAGUGUGGGUAUCAAACAGGAUUAGAUACCCCAGUAGUC